rnacentral:rRNA from 1 species
GACGAACGCUGGCGGCGUGCUUAACACAUGCAAGUCGAACGGAAAGGCCUCUUUCGGGGGGUACUCGAGUGGCGAACGGGUGAGUAACACGUGAGUAACCUGCCCUUGACUUUGGGAUAACUUCAGGAAACUGGGGCUAAUACCGGAUAGGAGCUCCUGCUGCAUGGUGGGGGUUGGAAAGUUUCGGCGGUUGGGGAUGGACUCGCGGCUUAUCAGCUUGUUGGUGGGGUAGUGGCUUACCAAGGCUUUGACGGGUAGCCGGCCUGAGAGGGUGACCGGCCACAUUGGGACUGAGAUACGGCCCAGACUCCUACGGGAGGCAGCAGUGGGGAAUAUUGCACAAGGGGUGGAAGCCGGAUGCAGCAACGCCGUGGGCGGGAUGACGGCCUUCGGGUUGUAAACCGCUUUCGCUCAUGACGAAGCUUUGUGUGACGGUAGUGGGUAAAGAAGCACCGGCUAACUACGUG